UUAACGACAUGGAAGAAGAGCAAGUAGGUAUCAGAGAUCGAGGUCCAGAGAGUCGGUGGCUGCUGUGAACCGAUCCUCGCCUGAUGCCGAAUGGGCUUCUGAGUCGCUUCGCUGAACCUGGGAGUAGGCGUGGCCGGGAUUCUCUCUCCGUUAUCAUGAGAGGCGUAUCGAAGGAAGAUGCUCCUUCCGUACGCAAGAGUGAAUCGCUGCGGCGAUUAAUGAAGGUGGUACCACGAUAACCUCGUCCUUUGG
rnacentral:ncRNA from 1 species